rnacentral:misc_RNA from 1 species
UUGACACAUAAAACCAACCAGUGCACC